GAUGAACGCUGGCGGCGUGCCUAAUACAUGCAAGUCGAGCGAAUGGAUUAAGAGCUUGCUCUUAUGAAGUUAGCGGCGGACGGGUGAGUAACACGUGGGUAACCUGCCCAUAAGACUGGGAUAACUCCGGGAAACCGGGGCUAAUACCGGAUAACAUUUUGAAACGCAUGGUUCGGAAUUGAAAGGCGGCUUCGGCUGUCACUUAUGGAUGGCCCCGCGUCGCAUUAGCCAGUUGGUGAGGUAACGGCUCACUAAGGCGACGAUGCGUAGCCGACCGGAGAGGGUGAUCGGCCACACUGGGACUGAGACACGGCCCAGACUCCUACGGGAGGCAGCAGUAGGGAAUCUUCCGCAAUGGACGAAAGUCUGACGGAGCAACGCCGCGUGAGUGAUGAAGGCUUUCGGGUCGUAAAACGCUGUUGUUAGGGAAGAACAAGUGCUAGUUGAAUAAGCUGGCGCCUUGACGGUACCUAACCAGAAAGCCACGGCUAACUACGUGCCAGCAGCCGCGGUAA
rnacentral:rRNA from 1 species